GACUGUUAAAGCUCUUUUGGAAUUUGUCUAGCAGGUUUUCACUGCAAAAACCCCA
ensembl:snRNA U7 U7 small nuclear RNA